rnacentral:lncRNA from 1 species
UGAUAAAGACGUUGAGACCCACUUUCUGUAAGGUCGGCUUCUUCAUUGUUUGAAUUUCUUGAGGUUUCACGGAGCCACGCGCUGGAACCUUCCAUAGUCUCUCCUGAGGCUCCUUCUUUGCCCUGGGCUGGAGGUCUGUAGCCGUGGGAUGCUGGCUACAAGGGACAAGAUAGAAGCAAACCACCUGAUCCAGUAAACUGCUGUCCACUUCGGCUCCUCAACGGCCUCUAAGCUUAAGAGGGAGCACGCAAGCCAAGCAAAGGCGGCAGGGAAGACGGAGAAGAAACCACCCGUGGGCCCUGGCUCUGUGUCCAGUUGUUCCGUCACAGAUCAAAUCUGCCUGCACUA